GCCCACGUAGUCCAACAUGGCUCAGUUGGUUAGAGCACAGAGCUGUUAGCGCCAAGGUUGCAGGUUCGAUCCCAGUAUGUGACA